GGACUGUCACAAGGAGCGUUUAAAAAGGCCACCAUCGACAACAUACAGCCACACGACAAACAACAACAGCUGAAACUGUUGCUGAGUGGAUCAUAAACGGCCCCAGCAAUGAAGAUAACUUGUUGGUAAUGUUCUAUCACAUUGUUUUGUUGUCCAAUGAUCUCUUCAUGUCUUUCAGACUAUGUACCAGCGCUCACUCGGCGGAGCAAAUCUGAAUGCAGCCGUCAGAAGAAUGCUCCGCCGGGUGGGCAAAAAUGACCUCUGGUCAAAUUUUAGUUUUAAGGGGAGGCAGAGCAAGCGCCCUUUUAGUAAGCUUCGACUGUGUGAAGCAAUGAUUGGAGCAUGCCAGAAAUUGCAUAAAAUGAAGGCAGAUAAGGUGGAAGAUGCUAUUGGCCAGGUGCUGAAAUUGGCACCACACAGACAAUUAAAGUGGUAGAUGAGUCAUUAAUGAUUUCACCAUAACUGUUCUCUUAAAAUUAUUUUGAUUAAGCACUAAUAA